rnacentral:pre_miRNA from 2 species
AGGCAGUGCAGUUAGUUGAUUACAAUCCAUAAAGUAAUCACUAACCUCACUACCAGG